rnacentral:rRNA from 1 species
AAAGACCCUAUGAAGCUUUACUGUAGUUUGGAAUUGGGUUCGGGCUCUUCUUGCGCAGCCUAGGUGGGAGGCUAUGAAGAUAAACUUUUGGGUUUAUUGGAGCCAACAGUGAGAGACCACUCUAGAGGAGCUAGAAUUCUAAUGGCGUUCCUUGAAGCAGGACGCUUGACAGUUUCAGAUGGGCAGUUUGACUGGGGCGGUCACCUCCUAAAAGGUAACGGAGGUGUGCAAAGGUUCCCUCAGGCUGGACGGAAAUCAGCCGUAGAGUGUAAAGGCAGAAGGGAGCUUGACUGCAAGACCUACAAGUCGAGCAGGGGCGAAAGCCGGCCUUAGUGAUCCGACGGUUCCGAGUGGAAGGGCCGUCGCUAAACGGAUAAAAGUUACUCUAGGGAUAACAGGCUGA